rnacentral:rRNA from 1 species
AUGGCGGCCACCGGUACCAAGCAGCAGCAGCCCACGGCAACACCGGUGGCGACGGUGGUGGACCCCAAGUUCGAGUGGGCGGAGAAGGAGGGCAGCUACGUGCUCCGCCUCACCCUGACGGGAUUCAGGAAGGAAGACUUCCGGGUGCAGGUGGACGGCACCGGGAAGCUCACCGUGCGAGGGGCGACCAGGCCGAGCGCCGGCGGCCCGGGCUCCUCCCUCUACAGGGUCUUCCAGCUGCCCGCAACCGCCAGCCUUGAUGACAUCGCCGGCCGCUUCGAGGCCGGCGUGCUCACGCUCACCGUGCGCAAGCUCGCCUCUUCCGGUGCCGGUGUGGCCAAGGACAAGGAGGACGGUGCGCCGCCGACGUCCACCGAAGAGAUCAGGAGCAAGCCCACGAAGGAGGCUGCCAAGCCGACGCCACCCGCAGAGGUUGGCGGCGCCGAGCCCAAGGAGAGCGUGCUCAGCCGGACGACUCGGCAGGUCGCCGAGCGCGUUCAGCGCAUGGAAGAGGAGGCCAACAGACGCAAGCAAGAGGAAGAGAAGAAGCCAGCACCGGCGGCGAAGAAGGACCAACACCCGAGGCCUAAGGCUCCUCAAGCGGCAACAGCAGCUGCGGCGACACCCGAGAAGCAAGGGUCUGCCAUCGGCAAGAAGGACAAGGCGGCAGUUGACCGGGAGAGCCUGGAGGACAGGGUUAGGUUGUGCGGUGACGGCGAGGAAGUGAGGGCCAAGGCAGCUGCCACGCCGACAGCCAUGGACGCGAAAGCGGAGCACGAGAAGAAGGCGGCGGCGGCGACAUGCACCGCCUGGAAGGAGCGCAUUGUAGGGGAGCUGAAGGGGCUGACAGACAUGAAGUGGGCGGACAACACAUUCGAGAUUGCGAGGAAGAACAAGGAGGUGGUCGCCGUCGGCGUCGCCGCCUUCUCGCUAGGCUUCUUCGUCUCCCAGAGGCUCUUCGGUAAGUGA